UCUUCCUGAAUGAUGGGCAUUUCCUGACUA
rnacentral:piRNA from 1 species